AAUUUUUUUUUAAGAAACGUCCACGUCGGACAAAAAUGGCGGCUGGUGUGUCACUUUCCCAUUUUUGACACGAGAGUGCACUCGUGCACUGUCGCAGUGAGUGACAGUUUUUUACAACCUAGAAAAGGAUAAGUGUAAGUGUGUGAUAGUCGUGACCGUUGCCGCGUCGUGACAGAUAGUGAAAUAUAUAUAAGUAUUGACCGUAAAGAGCUGAUGCCGAGAGAUUUUUAAGAAGGAAGGUGUAUCUACAAAAUCGUACAAACACUAUUUAUAGGAUGAUCGGCAGCAGGACGAGAAGCUGUAAAAUAAUCAAUUGCAAGACGAGAAGUUAUAGGACGAUCAACUGUAGAACGAGAAGUUGUAGGAUGAUCAACUGCAGGACGAGAAGUUGUAGGAUAGGACGAUCAACUGCAAGACGAGAAGUUGUAGCACGAUCAAUUACAGGACGAGCUGCAGAACGAUUGUCAAUAGAAUGAUGAUCACCAACAGAUCAACAUCAGAGUUUUUUAAUAGUCGAAUAGCAAAAUGCUGCUGCAAAAAAACAAUUAACUAUUUUAGAUGUAUAAUUUGUAUGUCUUAUGCUUACUCGUUUAAUUAAAAAUAAAUAUAUUUGUGUCUUAGAAAAAUAUGUUUCAUAAUAUAAAUCACAUGUACUUAUUUAUUUAGAUUAUUAAGUAUUUUUAUUAUACGCCCGUCUGUAUUCUCGGUUCUGAAUGU